CUGUGCCAUUCUUCUUCGCACGAUUGCACAACCCCAUUCCUCUUCCAUAUCUGCAUCUCAGCACGACUUCAUCGGCGUUGAGGUCUUCAGCAACCGACGACCAGUUUCUGAUCAUCUGGAACCGGUUCCCCGGUGCAACAUGGGUGGCGUUCCUCCGGUGUCACUAAGCUCCCUCCGAUGACAAUCCAUCAUCCACAGUUUCAUUCAGGCGAAGAGGGCUCUUUUGAUGAGGCAUGAGGCUGAAACUAAGUCAAGUGCUUACUGGCUGGGAUUAAUGACCCACCUUCAAACUCCAUCUAUUCCAAGACAUUGGAGAUGAAGAGUCAGAUGCUGGCCAUCAUGGAAUGGUUGCUACUGGGCGGGCGCGGUUUGUCAACAAUGACUGGACCAACAACCUAUCCUUCAUUGGAUUUUCUUGACCUGAAAUCUUAAUUAGAUAAGCUGCUGAGUACGGUGGCUGUUGCUAGUUUUAUUUUGGACGAACUAUUAUGAUUUAUCAGAGAAGAAAACUUAUCCGGUCUAGGAGAAAGUAUUCCAGUGAACAUGGAGGCAUGCAAUUAUUAGGAAGAGGUGAAAAAAACAAAGUCUUGUAUAGGAACAUAGUCAAGCUCUUGGGCUGUUGUUUGAAAAAGUGGAGGCUCCCAUGUUAGUCUAUGAGUUUGUCCCUAAUGGCAACUUGUUUGAUCUAAUCCACAGCAGGAACCUAGAUAACCUCCCUCUGGCAGUGCGUUUAAACAUUGCUCCUGAUUCUGCUGAUGCUCUUGCUUAUCUACGCACUUAAGCUUCGCCUCCAAUCAUUCAUGGAGACGUGAAGUCU